rnacentral:misc_RNA from 1 species
GAUGAAGAACGUAGCAAACUGCGAUACUUGGUGUGAAUUGCAGAAUCCCGUGAACCAUCGAGUCUUUGAACGCAAGUUGCGCCUCAAGCCAUUAGGUUGAGGGCACGUCUGCCUGGGCGUCACAUAUCGUUGCCUGAUGCCAGUUUCCUCGUGAUGGGUGACUGUGCAGGGCGAAUGAUGGCUUCCCGUGAGCAUUGUUGCCUCAUGGUUGGUUGAAAAUUGAGUCCUUGGUAGGGAGCGCCGUGAUAGAUGGUGGUUGAGUGACGAACGAGACCCAAUCAUGUGAGACCCCUACCGAAUUUGGCCUUCAUGACCCACAUGCGUCUUUGGAACGCUCAUGACGAGACCUCAGGUCAGGCGGGGCUACCCGCUGAGUUUAAGCAUAUCAAUAAGCGGAGGA